rnacentral:rRNA from 1 species
AACGAACGCUGGCGGCAGGCCUAACACAUGCAAGUCGAGCGAGGACUUCGGUUCUAGCGGCGGACGGGUGAGUAACGCGUGGGAAUGUGCCCUUCUCUACGGAAUAGCCCUGGGAAACUGGGAGUAAUACCGUAUACGCCCUUUUGGGGAAAGAUUUAUCGGAGAAGGAUCAGCCCGCGUUGGAUUAGGUAGUUGGUGGGGUAAUGGCCUACCAAGCCGACGAUCCAUAGCUGGUUUGAGAGGAUGAUCAGCCACACUGGGACUGAGACACGGCCCAGACUCCUACGGGAGGCAGCAGUGGGGAAUCUUAGACAAUGGGGGCAACCCUGAUCUAGCCAUGCCGCGUGAGUGAUGAAGGCCUUAGGGUUGUAAAGCUCUUUCAGCUGGGAAGAUAAUGACGGUACCAGCAGAAGAAGCCCCGGCUAACUCC